UGGCUGCAUUGUCUAGGAAAAACUGCUAGCGAGAGGAAAAUCUUUUGCAUGUUUUGGUCAUAUUCUAAAAAUAAUAGCACUGGGAAGCAGCCAGACCCCGCCAGUCCCUGAGUGUCGUCCGGUCAAGUGGGUGGGCACCCACUUGGCUGACCCCUUCGGGUGGAUUUUUAUGACUUGGCGGCAACGACAGAUGCAGCAUAUGGUGUGGCAAGUGGCAGGAGGUUGGGCCGGGGGUGUGGCAUGGAAAUUAUAACAUUUUCCUGCCCGCAACAGAAAACGAAAGCUUAACAAAUUUCCCCCCGACCCAGGAGGAUCCGACUAAUUUAUUAGCGAAAAAGGAUUUGCAUUUCGAAGAAGUGAAUACGGAUUCCCAGAAGAAGCUCUAUUUCUAUCGGCUCUUAUUUCUUAGGAAAAUGCUGCAGGAUGCAUCUGGAAAAAUAAUGACGCACUCAGAAAUGAAGUUGCUUCAGUUUUGCGUAAACUUUCCGCUCGAACGGUUAGACAAGAUUGCCACAUUUCAAGGCUGGGCCACGCGUUGGGAAAUAAAGCUAAAAGCUCGGCAGGAUAUCAGAGCCACCACCAGAGAGCCAACCGCUAUGUUGGCUUCUUAGCCGCUGAGCUAUGGCCGAGCUAAAAAAGUUUAAUUCAAAAACUUGUACAAAAAUGCACAUUUAAUGGAAAUUUACUACCUGAAGUCGCGUCAACGACAGGAGCAGCAGGAGCAGCCGCAGCCGCAGCAGCAACAAGGGAAACCCGAAACAAGCGCCACAAAGUUGCAAUGGACAUGGAGGAGGUGGAGGAGCCGUGGCAGGUGGAUGCAGAGGCGUAGUGCCAGCAUAAUACAGAGUAGCAGUAGCAUUAGCACUGGCAGGAGUAGAAUCAGGCCAGGAGAAGCAGCUGGAGCCAGAAACAGAGUGAGAUAGAGUCAGAGCCAGAGCAGAGAGCAGCAAAGUGUUAACGGUUUGUUUGUGCGCCAAAUGGCUGCAAGGGGGGAUGGGGGACAAUGAUGGAGCCAGGGCCAGGCCGAGAGCCAGAGCCAGGGCCAGGAUUGUUAUCCUGCAGUUGUCUGCCUUUGGCCCUGCGUAACCGGAAACGGAAAUUGCGUAGCGCAGCCAAGUGCGUUGCAGUGGUACCACCAAGAGGCAGCGAGCCGUAACAUGGACACCACCAUUCAGUCGCCCCGACCCGGCUCCGACCCCGACCCUCAGAAAACGGGGUGGUGCGGCACAGGUGCUGCCGGUGGCUGUCAUUAACGUGUUUUGUAUUUUUAACGCGUGGUGAUGGUAACGCCAGUGGUGGUGUCACGCCAGUGUCGGGUGUCGGGAAAUGGAGAGGAAAUUAUAUCUGUGUAUGAAAUGGAUUAUCUCGUGGAUAAACUAGAAAUGAUGGAAUAGAGGAGACUGUGGUUGAUCUGCGAUAGGAUUUGUCUAACAGCUGAGAGGUCCAUAGAGGAGGAGAAACUUUAAUUGAAUUCGUCGUGAAAGCUCCCCUCAUUAGCAUUAUUCGCCAUUAUAUUCCUCCUCUCGUUCCUUGCCAUCAAAGAUCAUCCAAUCAGCUCUUAACUCUCGACUCUUUAACAAUGCCAAGCCAUUUGCGAAACCGAAUCAAAGCCAAUGGAAAUACGAAAACUUUUUCAUGUGCCACAUCCUGCCCAGAGCAGUGAAAAGCGUAAAACGAAACGAAAAUGCGAGGCGAAAGCAAAUGAAAAUGGAGCACUCCAUUUGCUGGACCAGUCCGGGGACCAGUCCUGGUCAGUCCCCGUCCUGGCCAUGUGCAAUCCUGCUGCCGCACCGCAAGAGCCAAACAAAUAAGAAAUUAGUUGAUGCCAAGUUGUUGCAGCUGCAGCUUCAGCUGCACUGCCGAAUGGGAGGAAAAUAGCAAACAGCGGGGCAAAAAGGAACAAAAAAAAAAAAAACUUUUCCGCUAAUGUCUUAAUGUAAAAGUUUGUUAGCCCGCAAGUGGGGGGAGGCACAACCUACCUGUGUAUGUGUGUUUGGGGCAGGGCAGGGCAGGGCAGGCGAGGGUUGUGGGUGGUGGGUGGUGCAACUUAUGGCAACUUUUUAGCGAGCACGUUUGAUUGAAAUUUGUGGCAAAUUGCUUGAAGCUGCAAUGUGGCCAGGCCAACUUGUAAUGGAAUGAUCAAACUGCCAUCAGUGAGAGCUGCGCUGGCAGCAUUGUGCGCGG
rnacentral:sRNA from 1 species